rnacentral:rRNA from 1 species
CAGCAGCCGCGGUAAUACGUAGGUGGCAAGCGUUGUCCGGAAUUAUUGGGCGUAAAGGGCUCGCAGGCGGUUUCUUAAGUCUGAUGUGAAAGCCCCCGGCUCAACCGGGGAGGGUCAUUGGAAACUGGGAAACUUGAGUGCAGAAGAGGAGAGUGGAAUUCCACGUGUAGCGGUGAAAUGCGUAGAGAUGUGGAGGAACACCAGUGGCGAAGGUGACUCUCUGGUCUGUAACUGACGCUGAGGAGCGAAAGCGUGGGGAGCGAACAGGAUUAGAUACCCCGGUAGUCCCUGUCUCUUAUAC